rnacentral:rRNA from 1 species
UGGGGAAUCUUCCGCUAUGGACGAAAGUCUGACGGAGCAACGCCGCGUGAGUGAAGACGGCCUUCGGGUUGUAAAGCUCUGUUAUUCGGGAAGAACGAUUCGUUUGUGAACAAUGAACGGAAGUGACGGUACCGAAAGAGAAAGCCACGGCUAACUACGUGCCAGCAGCCGCGGUAAUACGUAGGUGGCAAGCGUUGUCCGGAAUUAUUGGGCGUAAAGAGCGCGUAGGCGGUAUGGUAAGUCUGUCUUAGAAGUGCGGGGCUUAACCCCGUGAGGGGACAGAGACUGUCAUACUGGAGUCUCGGAGAGGAAAGCGGAAUUCCUAGUGUAGCGGUGAAAUGCGUAGAGAUUAGGAAGAACACCGGUGGCGAAGGCGGCUUUCUGGACGAGCACUGACGCUGAGGCGCGAAAGCGUGGGGAGCGAACAGG